rnacentral:misc_RNA from 1 species
AACGCACCUUGCGCCCCUUGGUAUUCCGAGGGGCAUGCCUGUUUGAGUGUCAUUAAAUUCUCAACCUUACUAGCUUUUAUGAGCAAUGUAAUGGCUUGGAUGUGGGGGUCUUUUUUUGCUGGCUUCGAAAGAAAUCAGCUCCCCUAAAAUGUAUUAGCUGGUGCCCCCGUGUGGACUAUCUACUGGUGUGAUAAUUAUCUAUGCCGUUAGAUGUCUGCUUUAAAUAGGGAUGUGCUGCUUCUAAUUGUCCACUUAGGACACUUAUUGACUAUUUGACCUCAAAUCAGGUAGGACUACCCGCUGAACUUAA